rfam:Nostoc sp. PCC 7107, complete genome.
GUUUAAACAUCAACUAAUCCCUAUUAGGGAUUGAAAC